rnacentral:misc_RNA from 1 species
GGAAGUAAAAGUUGUAACAAGGUUUCCGUAGGUGAACCUGCGGAAGGAUCAUUCAUAAUAAGUGUUUUAUGGCACUUUUUUAAAUCCAUAUCCACCUUGUGUGCAAUGUCAGGGUUGAUUUUUCUCUCGAGAGGAUCAACCCCAAACAUCAACUAUAUCUCAACUCUUUGUCUGAAAAAUAUUAUGAAUAAAACAAUUCAAAAUACAACUUUCAACAACGGAUCUCUUGGCUCUC